AUUGAACGCUGGCGGCAGGCCUAACACAUGCAAGUCGAGCGGAUGAAGGGAGCUUGCUCCUGGAUUCAGCGGCGGACGGGUGAGUAAUGCCUAGGAAUCUGCCUGGUAGUGGGGGAUAACGUCCGGAAACGGGCGCUAAUACCGCAUACGUCCUGAGGGAGAAAGUGGGGGAUCUUCGGACCUCACGCUAUCAGAUGAGCCUAGGUCGGAUUAGCUAGUUGGUGGGGUAAAGGCCUACCAAGGCGACGAUCCGUAACUGGUCUGAGAGGAUGAUCAGUCACACUGGAACUGAGACACGGGCCAGACUCCUACGGGAGGCAGCAGUGGGGAAUAUUGGACAAUGGGCGAAAGCCUGAACCAGCCAUGCCGCGUGUGUGUAGAAGGUCUUCGGAUUGUAAAGCACUUUAAGUUGGGAGGAAGGGCAGUAAGUUAAUACCUUGCUGUUUUGACGUUACCAACAGAAUAAGCACCGGCUAACUUCGUGC
rnacentral:rRNA from 1 species